AGCGCCGGCACGGGCAACGGAAUCCCAAAAGCAGCUGUCCCCGCAGCGCCCAGCUGCCCUGGGAUUUCGUUACCCGCGCCUCCGCCU
rfam:Gallus gallus isolate RJF #256 breed Red Jungle fowl, inbred line TCD001 chromosome 12, whole genome shotgun sequence.